rnacentral:rRNA from 1 species
GAUGAACGCUGGCGGCGUGCCUAAUACAUGCAAGUCGAGCGAACAGACGAGGAGCUUGCUCCUCUGACGUUAGCGGCGGACGGGUGAGUAACACGUGGAUAACCUACCUAUAAGACUGGGAUAACUUCGGGAAACCGGAGCUAAUACCGGAUAAUAUAUUGAACCGCAUGGUUCAAUAGUGAAAGACGGUUUUGCUGUCACUUAUAGAUGGAUCCGCGCCGCAUUAGCUAGUUGGUAAGGUAACGGCUUACCAAGGCAACGAUGCGUAGCCGACCUGAGAGGGUGAACGGCCACACUGGAACUGAGACACGGUCCAGACUCCUAAGGGAGGCAGCAGUAGGGAAUCUUCCGCAAUGGGCGAAAGCCUGACGGAGCAAAGCCGCGUGAGUGAUGAAGGUCUUCGGAUCUUAAAACUCUGUUAUGAGGGAAGAACAAAUGUGUAAGUAACUAUGCACGUCUUGACGGUACCUAAUCAGAAAGCCACGGCUAACUACGUG